UACGAAGGGGGCUAGCGUUGCUCGGAAUCACUGGGCGUAAAGCGCACGUAGGCGGAUUGCUAAGUCAGGGGUGAAAUCCUGGAGCUCAACUCCAGAACUGCCUUUGAUACUGGCGACCUUGAGUCCGGGAGAGGUGAGUGGAACUGCGAGUGUAGAGGUGAAAUGCGUAGAUAUCGGGAGGAACACCAGUGGCGAAGGCGACUUACUGGACACAUAUUGACGCUGAGGUGCGAAAGCGUGGGGAGCAAACAGG
rnacentral:rRNA from 1 species